AACGAACGCUGGCGGCAUGCCUAACACAUGCAAGUCGAACGGGAUCCUAGCUUGCUAGGUGAGAGUGGCGGACGGGUGAGUAACACGUGGGAAUCUGCCUUUUGGUUCGGGAUAACCGCGGGAAACUGCGGCUAAUACCGAAUGCCCUCGAGAGAGGAAAGAUUUAUCGCCAGAAGAGGAGCCCGCGUCCGAUUAGGUAGUUGGUGGGGUAAAGGCCUACCAAGCCGACGAUCGGUAGCUGGUCUGAGAGGAUGAUCAGCCUCACUGGGACUGAGAUACGGCCCAGACUCCUACGGGAGGCAGCAGUGGGGAAUAUUGGACAAUGGGGGCAACCCUGAUCCAGCAAUGCCGCGUGAGUGAUGAAGGCCUUAGGGUUGUAAAGCUCUUUUGCCAGGGAAGAUGAUGACUGUACCUGGAGAAUAAGCCCCGGCUAACUCGUGCCAGCAGCCGCGGUAAU
rnacentral:rRNA from 1 species